rnacentral:rRNA from 1 species
GAUGUAUGGUGGGCAGCAGUCGCGGGAAUACGUAAGGUUCAAACGUUAAUGGUGAUUUCGCGGCGCAAAGCGGGCGCAGGCGGUGAUGUAAGACAGGUGUGAAAUCCCCGGGCUUAACCUGGGAACUGCAUUUGGGACUGCAGCGCUGGAGUGCGGCAGAGGGGGAUGGAAUUCCGCGUGUAGCAGUGAAAUGCGUAGAUAUGCGGAGGAACACCGAUGGCGAAGGCAAUCCCCUGGGCCUGCACUGACGCUCAUGCACGAAAGCGUGGGGAGCAAACAGGAUUAGAUACCCUUGUAGUC